UGGCAUAUGUGGGAUGUCGGGAUUCUGCACUCGGUUCUACAGUGUAAAUUGGUGUUUUAAGACUUCGAAAGGACGCUAGUUUUGUGAUUUCGGUCACAAUGCCUAAACGAUGUGUGUUUGGUUGUUUACCUAGUGAUCCCAGCCUUCAUUCAUUUCCAAACCCUAAAAGAUUCCAUCAGCCAUUCAAUUCUUGGGUUAAUGUUACUGGUGAUUUUGGAUAGACUAAUGAAGAGAUUUUAAAAAGAAAAAAGGUUGUGAUGUUCAUUUCACCGGUAGAGAUCGUAAUCUUAAUAACCGAUUAAAUGUUUUAGCCAUUCCAUCUCUUCAUUUGAAUGGCUUUCAUGGAAAACUGUAUAGGGUAUGGAACCCUAAUGAAAUGGUCAGUCAGGAAAUGGAACUGAACAACCACUCAGACGCAGUUGCCUGUGGCUCAGCAUCUACUUCUGCUAUAACCACUCAACAGAAUGUUAAGCACAACAUGAAAAGAUGAUCAAAAAGGCAUUCAGAAGAUGCUGCUAUAAUGCUGGACCAUGGUUAUUGCAAGAAAAAAUCUUCAAAAACUUCAGAAAGAACGGCGCCGUCCAAAUUGACAGCAAAUAGGUAUAGCACUUACCAAAAACAAAUUUGUAACUUGAGAAGAGAAAUCUACAGACUGCGAAAAAGUUAAGUCAUUCAUUUAAGGCGCGGCUUACAAAAGCCGAGCAUCACAAGCCAAAUUGUUUACCGCCAUGAAGAUGCAACGGCGAAAAAACAAAAGGGUCGUCGUUUUUGUAUAAGAGGAGUCCCAAGUGUUAUGCCUUGAUGCCAAAAUAUUUUACAUUGCCAUCAGCAAAAUGUUUAAAAAGAUUAAUUUGUAAAGUAAAACUAAAGCCGUUCCGAUAAAGUCAUUUAUGAAAAAUUUAAAAAAGUUGUGCAUCAUAUGCCUCGCGAAGAUAAACUGUGCACAUUAAUCUUUUACGAGAUGUCACUUACGCCGCAAGUGCAUUACGAUUCAGCAACCGACACCUUAAAAGGAUUCGCAACUCAUGGCAAACAAGUAUUUGAAAGCCAUGCAUUGGUUUUCAUGGUAAAGGGCAUUAAAAAAGGUACACACAACCUGUCGCUUAUUAUUUCACCAGUAACCUGAACAAAAAUGAA